UUCAGAUCCAGAUGAGUCCCAGCCCCCGCCACACGGGCCGUGGGUUCUCCUUCGAGAGUGACCACUGAUUCCUAGAGCUUUUCCUAAACUGGAGACGGAUCCUGCCCUGGGGGUCUCAGUCACCGCAAGGACUCGAAGAUGAACACCUACAACAGAGAGAAGGACAAAGCUGUCCUCCAGUGCCGGGCUCACCUGCACCACCGCCUGCAGCCUUUGCUUCCUGACUCAGCCUAACUUCCAAUGUCAGAAUAAAUGCAGGAGAGGGCAGUUUGGUGAUAAAAGGAGAGGAACUAUACUUGGAAAUGAUAUUUUUCUGCAUACUUAGAAGCCAAAACCCCACUGGUUCACUGAUCUCUGUGAGUAAAGGGUUAAUAAAGCUCCCUUUCUGGAAUUGAA